AAGAGAGUUUCUCGGGUCACGCACAGUGCACCUGUAUACCUGAUCGACCUGAAAAUUAUUCAAAUAAUUUUAAUAAUUUCAAUAAUUUCAAUAAUUUAAAUAUGAACUUUGCAGUCCUGAUGUCUUUCAAAAUAAACUACCAGUAUUCAGAAGAUUUAAACUUGAUCAGCAUUGCCGGCUGUUCUCUUUCUAUAUUGGGUCUUGCUGUCACAGCAGUUUACCAAAUUGCAACCAGGAAGUCAAGGGGAUGCAGCCCGACUCUGCUUUUGGUGAACAUCUGCUUGAGCAUGAUGAUUUUCUACCUUCUCUUCAUCUUUGGCAUAAACAACCCAGUCAAACAU